GGAAACUGGGGCUAAUCCCCAUAGGCGGGAGGCCUGAAAGGUUCCCCGCCAAAAGGGAGCGCAGGGGGCCAUCGCUGCGCUCCGCCCGAGGAUGGGGCUGCGGCCUAUCAGGUAGUUGGCGGGGUAACGGCCCGCCAAGCCGAAGACGGGUAGGGGCCGUGAGAGCGGGAGCCCCCAGAUGGGCACUGAGACAAGGGCCCAGGCCCUACGGGGCGCACCAGGCGCGAAAACUCCGCAAUGCGGGAAACCGUGACGGGGCUACCCCGAGUGCCCCCCUUGUGGGGGCUUUUCCCCGCUGUAAGAAGGCGGGGGAAUAAGCGGGGGGCAAGUCUGGUGUCAGCCGCCGCGGUAAUACCAGCCCCGCGAGACCGGGGCCUUAAACAAGCCCCGGCGCGACUGGUCGGGGUGAUUAUUGGGCCUAAAGCGGCCGUAGCCGGCCCGGUAAGUCCCCCCUGAAAGUCUCGGGCUCAACCCGAGAAGCGGGGGGAUACUGCCGGGCUAGGGGGCGGGAGAGGCCGAGGGUACUCCCGGGGUAGGGGCGAAAUCCUAUAAUCCCGGGAGGACCACCAGUGGCGAAGGCGCUCGGCUGGAACGCGCCCGACGGUGAGGGCCGAAAGCCGGGGGAGCGAACCGGAUUAGAUACCCGGGUAGGCACAUGCCGCGGAUGAUUUCUCGGAAUAGAA
rnacentral:rRNA from 1 species